UACAGAGGUCUCAAGCGUUGUUCGGAUUCAUUGGGCGUAAAGGGUGCGUAGGCGGCGGUGCAAGUCCGAUGUGAAAUACCGGGGCUCAACCCCGGAACUGCAUUGGAUACUGCAUUGCUAGAGUACUGGGAGAGGGAACUGGAAUUCAUGGUGUAGCAGUGAAAUGCGUAGAGAUCAUGAGGAAGACCAGUGGCGAAGGCGGGUCUCUGGACAGUUCCUGACACUGAGGAGCGAAAGCGUGGGGGAGCGAACAGG
rnacentral:rRNA from 1 species